rnacentral:rRNA from 1 species
GACGGGUGAGUAAUGUCUGGGAAACUGCCUGAUGGAGGGGGAUAACUACUGGAAACGGUAGCUAAUACCGCAUAACGUCGCAAGACCAAAGAGGGGGACCUUCGGGCCUCUUGCCAUCAGAUGUGCCCAGAUGGGAUUAGCUAGUAGGUGGGGUAACGGCUCACCUAGGCGACGAUCCCUAGCUGGUCUGAGAGGAUGACCAGCCACACUGGAACUGAGACACGGUCCAGACUCCUACGGGAGGCAGCAGUGGGGAAUAUUGCACAAUGGGCGCAAGCCUGAUGCAGCCAUGCCGCGUGUAUGAAGAAGGCCUUCGGGUUGUAAAGUACUUUCAGCGGGGAGGAAGGUGUUGCGGUUAAUAACCGCAGCAAUUGACGUUACCCGCAGAAGAAGCACCGGCUAACUCCGUGCCAGCAGCCGCGGUAAUACGGAGGGUGCAAGCGUUAAUCGGAAUUACUGGGCGUAAAGCGCACGCAGGCGGUCUGUCAAGUCGGAUGUGAAAUCCCCGGGCUCAACCUGGGAACUGCAUUCGAAACUGGCAGGCUAGAGUCUUGUAGAGGGGGGUAGAAUUCCAGGUGUAGCGGUGA